rnacentral:misc_RNA from 1 species
GAUGAAGAACGUAGCGAAAUGCGAUAAGUAGUGUGAAUUGCAGAAUUCAGUGAAUCAUCGAAUCUUUGAACGCACAUUGCGCCCUUUGGCAUUCCGAAGGGCAUGCCUGUUCGAGGGUCAUUGCAAUCCCUCCGGCCCCCGGCUGGGCGUUGGGCGUUUUGUGGGCCUGCAUUUGCGGGCCCACCCGCCUGAAAAGCAUCGGCGUCAGUGCGUCGGCCCUGCGCGUAGCACAUUGUUCGCAGCAGGCGUCUCGACGCAAUGGCGGCCGCCAACCUUGCAUUAUUUUGACUCUUGACCUCGGAUCAGGUAGGGAUACCCGCUGAACUUAAGCAUAUCAAUAAGCGGAGGA